rnacentral:rRNA from 1 species
ACACUCCUGCGGGAGGCAGCAGUGGGGAAUUUUGGACAAUGGGCGAAAGCCUGAUCCAGCAAUGCCGCGUGAGUGAAGAAGGCCUUCGGGUUGUAAAGCUCUUUUGUCAGGGAAGAAACGGUGAGAGCUAAUAUCUCUUGCUAAUGACGGUACCUGAAGAAUAAGCACCGGCUAACUACGUGCCAGCAGCCGCGGUAAUACGUAGGGUGCAAGCGUUAAUCGGAAUUACUGGGCGUAAAGCGUGCGCAGGCGGUUUUGUAAGUCUGAUGUGAAAUCCCCGGGCUCAACCUGGGAAUUGCAUUGGAGACUGCAAGGCUAGAAUCUGGCAGAGGGGGGUAGAAUUCCACGUGUAGCAGUGAAAUGCGUAGAUAUGUGGAGGAACACCGAUGGCGAAGGCAGCCCCCUGGGUCAAGAUUGACGCUCAUGCACGAAAGCGUGGGGAGCAAACAGGAUUAGAUACCCUUGUAGUCCCAU